GUUUGAAUAUAUUGAACUAUGAAACUUUCUUCCGUCUAAUUCGUUGGCUAAAGUAUUUGGAAAGGCGGAAUAUAAAAAAAAAAAUGAAUAUGGAAAGAUAAAUAUGAAACUUUUCUUCCUCAUUUUAAGAAUCGGCAGAGGGAGUCUACUACUUAAAUAUACUUCGAUGAUCGAAAUUUUACAACCAAACUAUGCGUGAGACCCUACUUGUAACAAUAGACUGGAUUCUAAAAAGCGUUCGACUUGCUAAAGAUACCGACCAAAUCAUACUCCAUCGUUUUAAAGGAGGGGAAGCACAUAUUUGAUAAUAUAAACCUAGACACCCUCCCCAAAAGAUGAUAACUGAAAUUUGCUUGGUCACAGCUGUCUUAAUGCUGCCCAUUACUACUGCAAGGAGUGAAUCACUGAGAGACGAUAAGAUACCGGUACUUGAUGUAUUAUUUGGUGAAUCAAUGAAUUCUUAAAACAAAACUGUCAAUUCUUUUUAAUAGUCAAACAGUCGCGAGUGUUAGUUUUUAUUUAUUAUGCUUCACAAUCCAUUCCUUCUGUACGUGAACGAUAUGGAAAAUUUCUUUGGUGAUAUUAAAUUGUUUUGGAGAAAAAAAAUCUUGUUUUGGUUAAAAUGAAGACAAUUUAUUAAUAUGAUGAUAUCCAAAAUAAUAUGCUUUUAAAAUACGUUUGCAAAUAUGAAAUUUUAUCGACAAAUAAUUGGAGAAUUCAGAAAUGGAAAUGAUGUGUAGUGUGAAAUGAGUUAAGAUAUUUCAUAGAGGAAAGUUAAUUAAUGUGUUAAUUUUUCCAGUAUGAAUGUACCCUGUACAAACAGUUACCAGAAUAAAUAGUGUUUCCCUUUAA